rnacentral:sRNA from 1 species
UUUUUGCGUGAGAGAUAGUAGCGGUUACCCCACAGUCUGACGGUAGGAAGUACGAGGAGUAAAAGCGAAUAACUCGACCCUUG